UACGUAGGCAGCAAGCGUUGUUCGGAGUUACUGGGCGUAAAGGGUGCGUAGGCGGCUUUUUAAGUCUGAUGUGAAAGCCCACGGCUCAACCGUGGAGGGUCAUUGGAAACUGGGGGACUUGAGUGCAGAAGAGGAAAGCGGAAUUCCACGUGUAGCGGUGAAAUGCGUAGAGAUGUGGAGGAACACCAGUGGCGAAGGCGGCUUUCUGGUCUGUAACUGACGCUGAGGCGCGAAAGCGUGGGGAGCAAACAGG
rnacentral:rRNA from 1 species